AUGGCGGGCUUGGCCAAGAUCGCCAUGGAAUGGCUCCAAGAUCCACUGAGCUGGCUGCUCGUUGCCUCGGUGGCCUUCGUCGUGCUGCAGCGGCGGCAGCGAGGCAAGGCACCGCCGCUGCCUCCGGGGCCAUAUGCGCUGCCGAUCGUGGGCAACAUGUUAAUGAUGGACCAGCUGACCCACCGGGGCCUCCUGGAGCUGGCGAAGCAGUACGGCGGCCUGCUCCACCUCCGCCUCGGCAAGCUCCACGCCAUCGCCGUGUCGACGCCGGAGUACGCUCAGGAGGUGCUGCAGGCGCAGGACGGCGCCUUCUCGAACCGGCCGGCGACCAUCGCCAGCACCUACCUCACCCGGCGCCGUGCGGGGACGUGGCUCGCCGUGCGCGACGAGUCCGCGGCCCUCGUCCGCGCCGUGGCCCGGCGGAGCGGGGAGUCCGUGAACCUCGGCGAGCUCAUCCUUAACCUCACCAAGAACGUCACCUUCCGCGCCGCGUUCGGCACUGCCGGCGACGGCGACGGCGGGAAGCAGGACGAGUUCAUCGCCAUCAUCAAGGAGUUCUCCCAGCUCUUCGCCGCAUUCAGCAUCGGCGACUUUAUCCCGUGGCUCAGCUGGGCGGACACACAGGGCAUCAACGUGCGCCUCCGCGCCGCGCGUGCCGCCCUCGACGAGUUCAUUGACAAGAUCAUCGACGGGCACAUGAAGAGGAGCAAGAACCCUAACGACAUCGACGCCGACAUGGUGGACGACAUGCUUGCGUUCCUCCCUGAGGCGAAAUCGAAGAUGGCCGUUGGCGACGGCGGGGAUGACCUGCACAACACGCUCAGCCUCACCCGUGACAACAUCAAGGCCAUCAUCAUGGACGUGAUGUUUGGCGGAACGGAGACGGUGGCGACAGCGGUCGAGUGGGCAAUGGCGGAGAUGAUGCACAACCCUGAUGACCUUCUGCGGCUGCAAAAGGAGAUCACCAACAUGGUGGGUCUUGACCGGAACGUGGAUGAUUCAGACCUCAACAAGCUCCCCUUCCUCAAGUGCGUCGUCAAGGAGACACUCCGACUACACCCGCCAUUCCCGCUGCUCCACAACGAGACCGCUGAGGACUGCGUCGUUGGUGGCUAUUCUGUGCCCCGGGGCUCCCGCGUCAUGAUCAAUGUCUUCGCCAUGGGCCGCGAUGCCAAGGCGUGGAAGGGCGCUGACACAUUCCGACCAUCACGGUUUAUGCCGGGUGAAGGGGAGGCCACCGGGGUUGACUUCAUGGGUGGGUGCUUCGCAUUCCUGCCGUUUGGGUCUGGCCGCCGCUCGUGUCCUGGAAUGGCGUUGGGCCUAUACUCGCUCGAGCUCAUCGUCGCGCAGCUUGCCCAUGGUUUCAGCUGGGUAUUGCCUGAUGGCAUGAAGCCAUCAGAUCUUGACAUGGCCGACAUCUUCGGCUUCACUGCACCACGUGCCACUAGGCUCUGCGUUGUGCCAACCCCACGACUUGCCUGCCUUUUUGUCACUAAUGUCGACUCCACGCGUCAGACGACGUUGUUCGCCAGUGUAGGUGGUGUUUGA
rnacentral:rRNA from 1 species